UACGAGGGGUCCUAGCGUUGUUCGGAAUCAUUGGGCGUAAAGAGUAUGUAGGCGGCUAGAUAAGUCAGGUGUGAAAUCCCUGGGCUCAACCCAGGAAGUGCAUUUGAUACUGUCUAGCUUGAGUGUGGAAGAGGGUAGUGGAAUUCCUGGUGUAGUGGUGAAAUACGUAGAUAUCAGGAGGAACACCGGUGGCGAAGGCGGCUACCUGGUCCUACACUGACGCUGAGAUACGAAAGCGUGGGGAGCAAACAGG
rnacentral:rRNA from 1 species